rnacentral:lncRNA from 1 species
AAAUUGAAUGGGAUUUUUUGUGUUGUGUUCAUCAUGAUCUCUACUUUUUUAUCAUUAUUUUUCCAGAAUUUUUGGAUGAAUGGUUUUUAAAUGGCCUUAGGGUUUGUGACAUGUGACCAAAUUUUGUACACCUUGCCAAAUCAAUUGUGAAAUGAUGAGAAUGUAUCCAAUGGCUCCCAAAUUUUUUGUGCUCAAACUAGACACACUCAUGGUGAUUUUGGUAUAGAGUUUGUGAAUUUAUCAUUUGUGGUUUGUGAGUUAUGAUUUUU